ACGGCGCACGGGUGCGUAACACGUGGGUAAUCUGCCUUCGAUGGGGAAUAACUCCGGGAAACCGAAGCUAAUUCCGCAUAACAUUCCUUGAACUUCGGUUCGGGGAUUCAAAGCCGUAAGGCGUCGGAGGAGGAACCCGCGCACGAUUAGCUAGUUGGUAGGGUAACGGCCUACCAAGGCUUUGAUCGUUAGCUGGUCUGAGAGGAUGGCCAGCCACACUGGAACUGAGACACGGUCCAGACUCCUACGGGAGGCAGCAGUGGGGAAUCUUGCACAAUGGGCGAAAGCCUGAUGCAGCGACGCCGCGUGGGGGAUGAAGCUUUUCGGAGUGUAAACCCCUUUCGACCCGGACGAAUACCUCGCAAGAGGGGUGACGGUACGGGUAUAAGAAGUCCCGGCUAACUACGUGCCAGCAGCCGCGGUAAGACGUGGGGGGCCAGCGUUGCUCGGAAUUACUGGGUGUAAAGGGUUCGUAGGCGGUGUAGCAAGUCGGGAGUGAAAUCUCUGGGCUCAACCUAGAGACUGCUUCCGA
rnacentral:rRNA from 1 species